UGGCUACACACGUGCUACAAUGGCCGGUACAGACGGAGGCGAAGCCGCGAGGCGGAGACAAAUCCGAAAAAGCCGGUCUCAGUUCGGAUUGCAGGCUGCAAUUCGCCUGCAUGAAGUCGGAAUCGCUAGUAAUCGCAGGUCAGCAUACUGCGGUGAAUACGUUCCCGGGCCUU
rnacentral:rRNA from 1 species